UGACUGCCGCUCGAGGUCCCGAAGCUGUGAUUCGUAGCGCUUGCUGAGGAGGGCAAAGGGAGGCAAACGGAGAGGAGAUAUCAGCCAGGGCUCAAUGAUAUGGUGGAAGACUGGAGGAGGCGGCAGCAGGCGCAUCUGUGUCAGGUCAGCC
rnacentral:lncRNA from 1 species